GAUAAUGAAGGGUUGUUAGACUUUCUAAACUUGACCAAGGUCAAGAGAGCGAUGGCUGACCCAACCGCGAUAUCUAGGGAGGGGAACUUCAAUCUCCUUGCCUUCGAGCUGAUAGUAGGCACCAUUCAAAGGAUGCAAAAGAAGCACAAAUGGUAUGAUGGAUUGAAUAUGAUGCUUGUCAUGGGAGGUGAGCAACCUGAUAAGCCCUCCGAGAAUUGGCAAGCUUGGAGCCCUAAACACCAUGAGGUAGGGGCCCUUUUGCCAUCGAACAAUUAUAUUAUUCAAGUUUUGGUUUAUUUUGGAAUCUCGACAUGCUAGCUUGUCCCAAAUAGCUACCACAUACUCACAUGCAUGUAAGUUUUAUAUAGGUCACUUAAUUGACCCUCAUCGACCCUCAGGAAAUCAACUAUUUCUACGACCUGGAGCCUAACCCUGUGAGUUACGACUGGGGUUUUUAUCACAUGCACGCUUGAGGAGGUGUAAUUUUUUAUGAUUAGUGGAGUGUCCAACACCAGCAACUACAUACAUAAUACUUUAUGGAAUAAGGGUUCACAACAGAGCAAAAUACCUUUGGAGUCAUCGGUAAGUGUUCACAACUUUAGCAUGUUAGUGCAUUCUCAAGCAUCCUAUGCCUUGCCGUCAUUCUAGGCUCAUCAAUUUUAGGCUCUUACAAGAGACCUAGUGCCUAACUGGAAUAUGACGACCACCUAUGGAAUAUUCAUAAGUUGGACAUACCCAUUCGUACAACCCAUCUCUGCUGAUUAUGAUAACAUGGCGGAUUAUGGUAUCUUCCACAGCCACCAUUCAUUUAAUCGCAAAUUGGACCCACCAUCGACAGGUCGGGUGCAAGUGGCGAUCCCCAUCUGCCAGGUAAGAGUAUGGUUUGCCGAAGGGGUGGCACCUGCACACAAGGCUAGAGGACCUGUUUGUGAGGCCUCUUCAUGCAUGGGCUCAUCGGACUCAUUCGAAGAUAGCGAGGUUGGAGUCGUGCAGAUCUCUUCCUCCCUCAAGACCCACGAGACAUUUAUGAGGCAAGGUCCACCUUGACCCCAUGUCGGCUUGCUCUUCUACAAGCCAAUGGUACAUCGCGGAAGACGAGAAGGGAAAAACCGAUGGUUCGAUGGUUGAUGAGAUCAACAUGGAAUCUUUACUCAACGCACAUUCGCCAUCAAAAAGAAGGUCGAGCAGAAGAAGAAGUAAAAUUCUAGGAAGACCACGCAGGAAUAGCCUACGAAGAAGGUGGUCUUGCCUCUGCUGACCGAGACUGGCCCCCAGGCAACCCCAAAGGCAGACCCCAAGGUUGCUGAGAAGGAUAAGGAACCUCACUAAAUGGUGACACCCUUGCGUAAAAUGGUCGGGGCUGUGAAAGACAUGAUCGAUGCUGUCUGCGAAGGGGCGCAGAUCCUAGAGACGUGGCCCAUGGUCACAUCGAGGUUCUCCAUGGACUUAGUUCACCAACAGAUGGUGAACGUGGCCCAUUAUUUCUUUCAUGCAUCGAUGAAAACAGUCCUCCUUUUGCAACAGUUGAAGCGAGAGGCUAAGGAGAAAAAGGCCAUUGAGGAUAAACUCGCUGAGGUGGCGCAGGUACUGAAGGUCGCUAAACCCGCAAGGCUAAGCACAAUGCCAACAACAUGUUCUACCUCAUUUGAAAGUAUAGUAGAAGUGUUGCCUUGUCCCGGGGGGGG